rnacentral:rRNA from 1 species
AUACGGAGGGUGCAAGCGUUACUCGAAAUCACUGGGCGUAAAGGACGCGUAGGCGGAUUGGAAAGUCAGAUGUGAAAUCCUACAGCUUAACUGUAGGACUGCAUUUGAAACUUCUAAGCUAGAGUAUGGGAGGGGGAGAUGGAAUUAGUGGUGUAGGGGUAAAAUCCGUAGAUAUCACUAGGAAUACCGAAAGCGAAGGCGAUCUCCUGGAACAUAACUGACGCUAAGGCGUGAAAGCGUGGGGAGCAAACGGGAUUAGAUACCCUAGUAGUCC